GUUUUAAUCGGGUGAAUCCUCUCAUGUGGUAAAAGUGACGUUGCUAUGGAAACCAUAUCUGCCAGGAGAGGUGACACCAGCCUGCACGCUGCCGGAGAGGGAAGCGACGAUGGGAUGGCUCAGCCACUUGGCACAGCCCCGACCUCACAGCGAGAGCUCAGCCCAGUGUUGCAUCUUUAUUAAAAGGAACUGCCUAGAAGGAUGCUUCUCAUUUCAGUUUACGCAAGCACACCAUGUCUGGCUGAUGUCUGUGGCACUGGAGGAUGGGUUUGCCAGGACCCGGCUUUCCUUGGGGGCACCGCUGGAGCCCUGAGUGUUGGUCCAGAUUACUAUGCAGAAAGAACAGUUAUUGAAAUCAACACCAUCAGUGUGCUGACAUAACAUGAGUGCAACAAUUCCCUUUUCUAUAGGGCUAGUUUCAGUUUAUUAUAACUGAAUAGAAAUGGAUAAUAUCAUCCUACAAGCUUGACUUCCACGAAGGAGACUUUCAGCAAGAAGCUCCAACAUCCGAAGCCAUAUCAUAGGUCUUUUGCAGACCAUAUAGAGCUGCUGGUGGGAGCGCCCUGUGGGCCAGCCCUUAUCUCGGUAUAGGGUUUCAGUGGUUUGAUGGUUUUCAUCCAGCCUCAUCCAUUGGGUGAUCACAUUGUAACAAAAGGAGCCUGGAAGAGUCAUAAUCCAGUUCAUGGAAAAUAAUCUCACUGUCUAACUGCUCCACUUUGAACCUGCAUCACUGCAAACAACAUUAAGGACUCUUAGCUGCUGCUCAAGUCGUGCAGGAUAUCACAAUGAGUUUUGUGAAAGCUGUGGUUGCGUCCCAGUUGGUUUCCAUGCCUCUGCUCUCCUCUGGGGUUGCUGGAUAUGGUGCCAGGCAGCAGGAAAGGCAGUGCUGUGCUCAUUCCCAACUUCCAGGGAAGUCUCACUGGGAAUCCAUCAGCUUCUGCGGAUGUUUGAUGUUCUCUAGCGAAGCAAGUCGUUUCUUAAUGGUUUAAUUGAUCUUUGUGGCUGAUAAGAGGAAUACUUUUGUACCUGAUCUGCCCUAUCAUACCAUGUGUAUUUUUAGGUGGUUCACGUAAAGCAGAUUAAAUGAAAAACAAAGAAGGCUCUGUGCCUGAGAAGUGCCUGCGUUAGCAAAUGAUUAUUUCAGUACCUGUAGAUUUUGGAAUCACCCUUUUUUUUAAUAAAACAUGUGAAUAAAAUUUAAGCAGAAAAGCGUUAUAGCAGGAAUGCCUGGCACUCUUCAUCCUCCUGAAGCGUGCUCACCUACACAGGGCUAACUGGACUGUGCUCUGAAAGACCCUGUUCAGAAAAAGGGGAAAAUGCCCCAAGCUGAUGCCCUUCAUGUGGUGGUGGGAAACAUGAGAAGUGCCAUCAUUCUGCCUCCCCACAGCACAU